rnacentral:tRNA from 1 species
GUUUUUAUAGUUUAAAUAAAAUAGUGGCCUUGUAAGCCAAAGAUAAGAAUUUUUUCUUUUAAAACU